CAAUCAACCUUCAUCGAAUCUUUGGCUAGAAUACCACCUACUGAAACAUUUUCUUGCAUACAAUCAUUAGCAACUUAGCAUUAUUCAAGCAUAAUAAUUUAAAAUUUAAAUUUUAUUUUGGCACCACCCUUGGAGCCCUAGCUCCUCCCUCUCAUGUUGAUAUUUAUGUUUUGCUGCGCACCAAAGGAAGCAUGGUCGGAUUUGGACAAUUUUCCAAUAUGAAUGGCACCUCCAAGACUAAAACACUGCUGAUGUGAACAGGUUAUAGGUGUAGAAAACUAAAACUAGAGUGCAAAGGAAGGACAGUCCAGGUUGAGCCAUCAUUAAGUGCCAUUCUUGGUGCUCAUAUUGCCAAUGCACAGCUCAUUAUUGAGAGGCACCUGCAACUACAGUCAUUCCAGGUCAAUCUAGCAGCGAUUUAGUGGCAGAUCAGAUUAGAUCAGCAUGAAUAAACGAAAAUACCUGCAGAUCUGAAAAAGCUCUAUACAGCACUGGAUAGGGAGGUCAUCGCCAUUCAUUGUACCUGCAGAAGUCAACUGUGGUGUGCUAAAACAUUGAGGGUUACACCACAGCGGCAGAUCCAGACGCCUAUUUCCAGACCAGGUCUAUUUUGAGUUGAUGCUGAAGUGGAUGGUAGCUGAGAACCCAGCAGACCUAGGGUAUCUUACUGAGCAACUAAUCCAGUCUGAACCAAACCAAAUUUGACAGCAUCACCGAGGUGCAUCACAGUCCAACAUUCAUUCCUUACUGUAGUUCAUUCCUCUAUGCACAGUGAAGCGUGCCAUUACCUAUAAUGCUGCUGUUGUAAUUUGGGAACCCACUGAUGAAGUCGUUGUAAAGACAUCUGGUUUUCUCGAAAGUAACAUGUACUUAAUAUUUGCAGAAAGUAUCAUGGACUGAUCUCUUUAGA